rnacentral:rRNA from 1 species
UAGGGAAUCUUCCGCAAUGGACGAAAGUCUGACGGAGCAACGCCGCGUGAGUGAUGAAGGUUUUCGGAUCGUAAAACUCUGUUGUUAGGGAAGAACAAGUAUCGGAGUAACUGCCGGUACCUUGACGGUACCUAACCAGAAAGCCACGGCUAACUACGUGCCAGCAGCCGCGGUAAUACGUAGGUGGCAAGCGUUGUCCGGAAUUAUUGGGCGUAAAGCGCGCGCAGGUGGUUCCUUAAGUCUGAUGUGAAAGCCCACGGCUCAACCGUGGAGGGUCAUUGGAAACUGGGGAACUUGAGUGCAGAAGAGGAAAGUGGAAUUCCAAGUGUAGCGGUGAAAUGCGUAGAGAUUUGGAGGAACACCAGUGGCGAAGGCGACUUUCUGGUCUGUAACUGACGCUGAGGCGCGAAAGCGUGGGGAGCGAACAGG